GCAUUAAUGGGGUAGUGGUAACCUGGGUCGUUGCCAUCUGAGCAUCAAGCUCGACCCGCCGGGGGUUCGAUUCCCUCUUAAUGCA